UUUUAAAAUAGCUCGGGAUACUUGUCCCAUAUUUUGUCUUCAAGUUCUCCAUAGCCUAAUUAGAAGAGUGGUGCUGCCAUAAUACCUUGACCACUGAAAUCCUCCUAUUUCUCAAAAUCUUCUCCUCUAGAUCAAAGAUCUAAAUAGAACACUCCGUGUAAGCCAUGUCCAAAUGGACUAGGGUUUGCUAAUGCGGGAUGAUGUGAGAAAGAUCGUGAUGGUAUCUCCUGAGCAUGGAGACAUGAAAAACAUCAUGUGGGCUAGAGAAUUCAGAGAGCAAAGCGAUACGAUAAGCCACGAGG
rnacentral:lncRNA from 1 species